AGGCUUAUAUGUCCCACCAAAGAAGCCCCACACGCUUCCCUUCAUUUCAACCAAACACUUCCCUUUCCUUUUCCUUUUUCCUUUUUCCUUUUUGCUUUCUCCCUCCUCUUCACGUUGAAGCUGUGAAACAUAAGAAAGUGAAAUUACUACAACUUCAUCAUCUUAACUGAAAACAGAUACAGUUCCAAUUCCAAUUCCACAUGUUGAAGAUGGAGCCUCACCACCACCUCUUAUCAUCUUCAAUUUCCACUACUCCUACCUUCACCUCUUACUCUUCCGAAACUCUUUCGCAAAUCGCCGCCAGAGUCAUCCACGAACUCACCACCGUCGAUGGUGAAUGGGAACCACUCAACGACAACACAAACGUAACUGACGACAAUGAUGAUUUCGAGUUCCCUUCCGUUUCAGUAAACCAUAACUCGUCUCUUGUUUCCGCUGACGAUAUUUUCUCCAACGGUCAAAUCAAACCAAUAUUUCCUCUCUCCGACGACGUCGUUUGUGUUCCCGAAACGCGUGUCCCUCCUCGUCGUUUACCUCUCAGGGAGCUCAUGUUCGAGGAAGAGCGAGGAGAGUCGUGGUCGUCUUCGUCGGAGGAGAGAAACGUGCUUAACGAACCGGUUGAGGGAAGUUAUUGCGUGUGGACCCCACCUGAGAAGAAGAAUAAUGAUAAGAAGAAGAAGAAGAAUAACUCGAUAGGUUCGUCAUCAUCGAAGCGGUGGAAGCUUCGAGAUUUGUUGCUUCGGAGUCACAGCGAAAGGAAGAAGGAAU
rnacentral:lncRNA from 1 species